UUCCCUCUUCGUUCUGCUCUUCUCUUUCUCUCUCGUUUUCGCAUCUCCUUCUCUUCCCGAACUCCAUUCCAUUGAAGCAGCUCGCUCUCUCUCCAUUGAAGUGGUUUACGAGCUUUCUUACUCUACUGAAGCAGCACCUCCUUCUCUCUCCAUAUCUCUGGCCUCCAUUGAACUCACGCGUGCUCUAUAUUCUCCAUUGAAGCCGAUUCUGAGCUUUCUCACCUCUAUUGAAGCAGCUUCGAGGGUUUGUCAUUCAAGCGCGCACGGCUACACCUCCACCACAACGGCCUCCUUGUCACGGCGGCACGACCUCGAACAGUGAACCUGGUGUCUGAAUCCAACAAUCAUCUCAUUUCAUCUUGGGAUUCUA